UACGUAGGGGGCGAGCGUUUGUCCGGAUUUAUUGGGCGUAAAGAGCGUGUAGGCGGCCAGGUAGGUCUGCUGUGAAAACUCGAGGCUCAACCUCGAGACGUCGGCGGAAACCAUCUGGCUAGAGUCCGGAAGAGGGAGAGUGGUAAUUCCUGGUGUAGCGGUGAAAUGCGCAGAUAUCAGGAAGAACACCCGUGGCGAAGGCGGCUCUCUGGGGACGGUACUGACGCUGAGACGCGAAAAGCGUGGGGGAGCGAACAGG
rnacentral:rRNA from 1 species